rnacentral:rRNA from 1 species
GACAGAGGGUGCGAACGUUGCUCGGAAUCACUGGGCGUAAAGCGCGUGUAGGCUGACGGUCAAGUCAGGUGUGAAAUCCCUGGGCUCAACCCAGGAACUGCAUCUGAAACUGGCCAUCUUGAGUACUGGAGAGGGAAGCGGAAUUCCUGGUGUAGAGGUGAAAUUCGUAGAUAUCAGGAGGAACACCGGUGGCGAAGGCGGCUUCCUGGACAGUUACUGACGCUGAGACGCGAAAGCGUGUGGAGCAGACAGG